AUAUCCUGCAAAAUUAUUGAAGAUAUCAGUGAUCUGAAAAUGUCUGUUUACCAACGGUCCCCAUCCAACCUGACAGAGCGUGUGAGGAUCUGCAGAAAAGAAUGGCAGAACAUCCCCAAAUCCAGGGUAUUGAGUGUAGAUUGAUGAGCUCAAUAAGGAUUGGAACAACAUUGACGGGGGGAAACACCCAAAGUCCAUCACUCAUGCACCGAGGAUCUGGCUGAUUACUGGAAAUUUGGAAGAUUGUUCUUUAUCUGCACUGUCACUUCUGGUAAAUAUUUAUGAAGAAGAAAUAUACUUUAUUAAU